GCCGAGGUGGCGAAAUUGGUAGACGCGCAUGAUUUAGGAUCAUGUGGGCAUUAGCUCUUGGAGGUUCGAGUCCUCUCCUCGGCA
rnacentral:tRNA from 1 species